AUACGGAGGGUGCAAGCGUUAUUCGGAAUCACUGGGCGUAAAGGACGCGUAGGCGGGAAGCCAAGUCUGAUGUGAAAUCCUAUGGCUUAACCAUAGAACUGCAUUGGAAACUGGUUACCUAGAGUAUGGGAGGGGGAGAUGGAAUUAGUGGUGUAGGGGUAAAAUCCGUAGAUAUCACUAGGAAUACCGAAAGCGAAGGCGAUCUCCUGGAACAAUACUGACGCUAAGGCGUGAAAGCGUGGGGAGCAAACGGGAUUAGAAACCCUAGUAGUCC
rnacentral:rRNA from 1 species